rnacentral:lncRNA from 1 species
CGCCGCCGCCGCCCCCCCCGCGCCGCGCUCACCUUUUAAAUUUUCCGCCAUCUUCGCUUUUUUUUUUUUUUUUCCCUUUUCCCCCUUUUUUUUUUUUUUUUUUUUAAUUUUUUUUCCCUCCCUUCCUCCCCGCGCGCCUUCCCUUUCCGCCCGGCGGCCCCCGCGCGCGCGCGAGCGCGCUGCGCUCCCAUUGGCUGCCGCCGCCGCUUCGUUUGCAUCCCUCCCGGCGGCCCCCGCGGCGGCGCGUUUCGGCCCCAAAAAGCCCUUUUUUCACCCAAAUGCCGGUGUUUUCGCCGCUCCCGUCGCUGCCUACGUGGGGGGCGCCACCCCCCCGAGCCGUUAAGUCGGGGGCCCGUCACUCCGUGCCCCUCGCCCUAACCUUGAUUCCUCGCCUCACGGCGGCUCGGAGGCUGCCGGCGGGGCUGAGGAGCGGCGCCUGCAGCCCGCCCUGGCCCUGGAUGAAGUCGUAGAUGAGCCGCGAGGUCUCGGCGUCCGCCAGCUGCGCCUCGCUGAUGCCCGCCCGCGAGAACAGCGCCCGCAGCUCACCUGCCCGCUGCUGGCGCCGCCGCAGCCGCUCCUGGACCCGCUCCUCGAAGGCGGCCGCCUCGGCCUCGUCCGCGAAGUUCAGCCCCGCCCGGCCCUCCUGGGCAGCCAAUCAGCGCUCGGAACCGCCCGCGGGCACGCCCACCACCGCAGGCCACGCCCACCAAAGCGAAGGCCCCGCCCACUUUCCCAUAGACCCCCCAUGCACCCAAAGCAGCCCCAGGGGCUUAGCCCCUCCCACCGGCCACACCCAAACGCAUUUAGCCACACCCACAUGCCAUUAGCCCCGCCCACAGGCUCUUAACCCCUCCCACUGGCACCUAGCCCCUCCCACAAGCCUUUUAGCCCCUCCCACUGGCCCCACCCAAAUGCAUUCAGCCCCACCCACGUGCCAUUAGCCCCUCCCACAGGGUCUUAGCCCCUCCCACCUGCCCCACCCAAACACCUUUAG